rnacentral:lncRNA from 1 species
GCCAUCACAGUGCCCUAGUGCAGUCUAAUAUUGGCUGUUGCGUCUGUCCCUUCAUUUGUGAGUAAUUUUUCUAUCUGUAUCAGCCUGGGUGUGCCUUCCUGCUUGUCUGGUUGCCCUUGGGUGUGCCUGUCUUUCCUCCUUCAGAUUGAAUUUUCCUUAGCAUAUGACAAAAAGAGUACAUUUGCAUUGCUCACUUACUAAGAUAUGUAUAUGGAGCUCUGGAUCACAUGCAUGAAAAAUAAAAAGAGAAAUGCACUGCAGUAACAGUCCUCUGGUUCGACCAUAUCUGCACCUGAUCACACCUACAGGAUGAAAAACCAUUUAGACAGAUGACUAAGGGCAAGAUACUGCUCCCCCUGAAGCUAACAAGUCACCUGCCUGAGAACUCAGGGUUACCUAAGAAGGAAGAUGGCUCCAAACAGGUACUGGACCGCAGAAGUUGUUAUACAGAAGAAUAUUAAAGGAGAGCGAGCCAGCAGUUAGUGUCAAUGACACCACGUGCCACAUGCAGUCUCCUCUACUCAAUCAGGUAUGAAACUCAACUGGGCUGAACAAAAAUAUUUACAAUUUCGAAAUUUAAUGCCUUCCUUUGACCUGGGUGUCUGAAACCUUUUAGGUGAAAAACAAGGCCUCAGGGAAACUAAUAAAUUCAUGGAUUUUUUUCCA